UACGGGGGGGGCAAGCGUUGUUCGGAAUUACUGGGCGUAAAGGGCUCGUAGGCGGCCAACUAAGUCGGAUGUGAAAUCCCCAGGCUUAACCUGGGAACUGCAUCCGAUACUGGCAGGCUUGAAUCCGGGAGAGGGAUGCGGAAUUCCAGGUGUAGCGGUGAAAUGCGUAGAUAUCUGGAGGAACACCGGUGGCGAAGGCGGCAUCCUGGACCGGCAUUGACGCUGAGGCGCGAAAGCCAGGGGAGCAAACGGG
rnacentral:rRNA from 1 species